rnacentral:rRNA from 1 species
UACAGAGGUCCCGAGCGUUGUUCGGAUUCAUUGGGCGUAAAGGGUGCGUAGGCGGCGGGGCAAGUCUGAUGUGAAAUCCCGGGGCUCAACCCCCGGAACUGCAUUGGAUACUGCCUUGCUUGAGUACUGGAGAGGAGACUGGAAUUUACGGUGUAGCAGUGAAAUGCGUAGAUAUCGUAAGGAAGGCCAGUGGCGAAGGCGAGUCUCUGGACAGUUACUGACGCUGAGGCACGAGGCCAGGGGAGCAAACGGG